UGCCCUAAUACCACUUGGAAACAGGUGCUAAUACCGGAUGACAACAAUAGCUGCAUGGCUAUUGCUUAAAAGGCGGCGAAAGCUGUCGCUAAAGGAUGGACCCGCGGUGCAUUAGCUAAUUGGUAAGGUAAUGGCUUACCAAGGCGACGAUGCAUAGCCGAGUUGAGAGACUGAUCGGCCACAUUGGGACUGAGACACGGCCCAAACUCCUACGGGAGGCAGCAGUAGGGAAUCUUCCACAAUGGGCGAAAGCCUGAUGGAGCAACGCCGCGUGAGUGAAGAAGGUUUUCGGAUCGUAAAGCUCUGUUGUUGGUGAAGAAGGAUAGAGGUAGUAACUGGCCCCUAUUUGACGGUAAUCAACCAGAAAGUCACGGCUAACUACGUGCCAGCAGCCGCGGUAAUACGUAGGUGGCAAGCGUUGUCCGGAUUUAUUGGGCGUAAAGCGAGCGCAGGCGGAAAGAUAAGUCUGAUGUGAAAGCCCCCGGCUUAACCGAGGAAUUGCAUCGGAAACUGUGUUUCUUGAGUGCAGAAGAGGAGAGUGGAACUCCAUGUGUAGCGGUGGAAUGCGUAGAUAUAUGGAAGAACACCAGUGGCGAAGGCGGCUCUCUGGUCUGUAACUGACGCUGAGGCUCGAAAGCAUGGGUAGCGAACAGGAUUAGAUACCCUGGUAGUCCAUGCCGUAAACGAUGAGUGCUAAGUG
rnacentral:rRNA from 1 species